rnacentral:rRNA from 1 species
GAUGAACGCUGGCGGCGUGCCUAAUACAUGCAAGUCGAGCGAACGGGCGAGAGGUUUGCUUCUCUGAUGUUAGCGGCGGACGGGUGAGUAACACGUGGAUAACCUACCUUUAAGACUGGGAUAACUUCGGGAAACCGGCUCUAAUACCGUAAUAUAUUUUGAACCGCAUGGUUCAAAAGAAAAGUACGGUCUUGCUGUUACUAAUAGAUGCAUCCGCGCUGCAUUAGCUAGUUGGUAGGGUAACGGCUUACGAAGGCAACGAUGAAUAGCCGACCGGGGAGGGUGAUCGGCAACCUGGGAACGGGAACACGCCCAAGACUCCUCCGGGAGGCAGCAGAAGGGAAUCUUCGGCAUGGGGCGAAGGCUUGCCGGACAAACGCGGGGGGGUGGAGGAAGGUUUCCGGUUCGUAAACCCUUGUGAUAAGGGAAGAACAGAUGUGGAAGGGAAUGUGCACAUUGUGACGGUACCUAAUCAGAAAGCCACGGCUAACUACGUG